rnacentral:lncRNA from 1 species
CCGGCGUACUGGGGCGGUUCAGUCGCCUCAGCCGCGGUGUGAGGGAGCGGGAGUCUUCCUUAGCUUCUCCGCCAUGGGUGUCGCUUCGUAGCCGGGCUGCUCCGGGAAAGGCCUCGUACAGCACGCAUUCACCAGAAUCCUGUCAGCUUUCCUCUUCUCAUCCAGACGCCUGGCCAGGAUCCUCGAUAAGACCGUGACCCCCAACUUGGACACCCCAUAAGAGACAGGGUUUCGCCAUGUUGGCCAGGCUGGUCCCCAACUCCUGACCUCAUGUGAUCCACCCGCCUCGGCUUCCCAAAGUGCUGGGAUUACAGGCGUGAGCCAUCGCACCUGGCCUGAGUUUGCAUUUCUAGGUUCCCAGAUGAUGUGACAGCUACUGGUCUCCAGCCACACCUUGAGAACACUUGGCUUUGACUACCACUUCUUAAACUUAAAGGGUCUUCUCUGUCGCCCAGGCUGGAGUGCAGUGCUGCAGUCGUGGCUCACUGUAGCGUCAGUCUCCUGAGCUCAGGAAAACUAGACAAUCCACCAGCCCAGGAGGGGACAAGCAGGCUUAUUCCUCCUCCUCGUCAUCUCUGGCUCCAGCCCCACCCUGGCCCUUGCUGGCAUUCUUCCUCUUCACGUGGCUGGGGUUGGCCACCCCAAUAGGGAAGCAGAGGGAGAAGUCAAUGUGCUUCUGGGAAUCCAGGCGGACAGUGAAGAACAGGAUAUUUACCACCUGCUCACGGACACGGAUAUGACACUGUUGAAUCAGCACAUGAGCGUGGCGGAUGGACUUAGCCAAGCCAAGCUUGAAGACCUGGGUCUGUAGGAAUCUCUAAGAAAUCAUUGAUCUUCAGGCCCAG